UACAGAGGGUGCGAGCGUUAAUCGGAAUUACUGGGCGUAAAGCGUGCGUAGACGGUUCGCUGUGUCCGAUGUGAAAGCCCCGGGCUUAACCUGGGAAUGGCAUUGGAAACUGGCGGGCUUGAGUGCGGCAGAGGGGGGUGGGAAUUCCGCGUGUAGCAGUGAAAUGCGUAGAGAUGCGGAGGAACACCGAUGGCGAAGGCAGCCCCCUGGGUCGACACUGACGCUCAGGCACGAAAGCGUGGGGAGCAAACAGG
rnacentral:rRNA from 1 species